GUGGCUGGAAUCGAGCAGUGUCACCUAGUUACAGUCAGAAAUGGACGCUCACUGCCACUGACCGGGAAAGCAGUAAGUAGCCAGACUCUGCUAAAAACAAAGAGCUCCAGCUGAGUGCAGGGAUAACAAAGGGACAGAGGUGACACCUGCAUCACAGCAGAGAAGUGAAAACAGGGAGGACAGAAAGGCAUUAAACCCCUAACUUCUUCAACAAUCAAAGAAUUCACAGGUGGCGCCUGGAAGUCAGACCUGGAUGUUUUAUAGCCUUGGAUACACUGUGUAUCUAGCACAGGAUGGCCCUGAAUACCUGAUCCUUCUGCCUCUGAGUGCUGUUGGGAUUACAGUGAGACCCACAAAAGCCUUGGAUCACCCAUGACACUUCAUUUUCGCUACGGACCGCUGGACUGCAUACUCCCCCCAGGGGCGGGGGCUACCUGCUCAACCUCAGGGCUGCUUUAUGCCAUUUCUCCACACGGGCUGUCUGAAAAAUACUUCAUCAUUAAAGUGUUUUACAUUCCA